rnacentral:tRNA from 1 species
GCCUGGGUGGCUCAGUGGGUUAAGCAUCCGACUUCAGCUCAGGUCAUGAUCUCAUGGUUCGUGGGUUCGAGCCCCACGUUGGGCU